CGAAAACAUAGUAUUUCAGUAUUUUGAAAUCCCAUAUCAUUUUACUCAUUUGUACAAAUCUUAUGUGCUCUUGAAAAGAUGUGCAUUUUAAUUUUUGCUAGAAUCUUUCUUUCCCCCAGCUUCAUAUAGGUGUCAAAAGUGCUGCAGAGAUUCUAGGCUUUUCAGAUCCUAGACUAGACCAUCAUCCCCAGGAGAAAAUUAGCCCCAAAUGCAUGACUCUCCCAACUGUUUCUGAAUUUUGGCCCACCAUUUCUCCAUUAUCUUGUCUUUUGAUGUCUUUUGACAUUUAAAAAGUUUGCUCACCUUUCCUCUGCUACAUGUUUGUUCCAAAUCACUCAUUUUAUUAUUACUAGAAGUGGAAGUAUACAAAGUAUUAUUCUGUCCCUUUUAUUUUUAAAAGGGACUUAUCCCUUCUCAUAAUAAUAACAUUUUGUCUGUAUCAGUACAGCCCUUCUAUUUGCCUUAUGACUUGCAUUUCAUCAUCAGUAGUUAAAGCAGAGGAAACGUGGGAACCGCUUGCUGUUUCUGUUUAUGGCCUCAUCAACGGUUGCAUCUGUUUUUUUUUGUGGAUUCUUGGCAUCCACGUUCUUGUGGAUCUUGCAACAAACACAUUAUGGUAGGUAGCAGCAGCACUAUCAGUUUCAGACGCGUCCACACCAAAAUGGAAUAAAAAAGUAAUCCAGUCAAAGAAAGGUUGAGAUCCUGUAUUCCUCAAAUUCGGUGUCCAGUACAAAUCAGCCCAAUUUCCUUUGAGUACCUGCAUUUUUAGAGCACACAUCCCUUCCAUUCUGUAAUUCUUUUUUUUUCUUCCUGUAUUGCAAGCUUCUCCGUUCUCUCCUUUGUGGGAUAUUUUCUUGGUAGGUAGGUAGGAAGGUAGGUAAAGUCCGCUUUGGUUGAGUUUAUUUGGGUUUGUGUAGCGUUUGAAAAAAAAUAAAUUCAAACUCUAGGGGGAAGGGAGUAGAGCUUGACUGGCAGUAUAAAAUUAGACGGCUAACCAAAAGAGAAUAGUGACUAUACAAAUACUGACUAUCCAAACGAGAAAGAGACGACUUAAGGGGAAGUGCUGCCCUGCAAGAAAUUCCGGGAAUUGUCCAGAAGAUCCACAGGGUCAGAGACACACGCGCCAAAAAGGCGCCUUUCAUGCACGGUCCUCCGGGGAAAACAGAGAAAUAUAUAUAGGAGCUCUCUGCCUUUGGAAGCAUUUCGGUUCCAGGAAGGGAGAGUUAAGGAAUUCCUUUGGGACCGGCACAUGUGAAAUAUGAUCCAGGCUCUCCGCUUGGCACCCUGCACUUGCGUCCUAGGCAGGCAGAGAGUGGA
rnacentral:lncRNA from 10 species